rnacentral:lncRNA from 1 species
UUCAUCUCCUAAACACCGGGUCUGACUGAUUCUCCACUGGGGGAGGAAGAGUUUAGGAGAGGAAGAGGCCCUUCCUGUUUGUCUCAGACAGAAUGUGGCAGUGGUAGGUGUUGGAAUAUACCACUCACGCUUAGACUGACUGUAAGCACAAACACAUGCUCCUUUGUCCUUCUGCCGUGGCAAGCUGACUUCACUGGGAAAGGCUGUUCCUCACACACAUCUCAGGCAACAUGAAUCAACAUCUGAGCAGGUCAGCAGAGGCCUACCUUGCACCUUGAGAGUUCAGAACCUGCUUCCUCCAACCCUUGACUUCUCAGAAGCUCUGCUGAUGGGGAGGAAAGAGAUGUGACACUGAGGAUCCCACAUGAAGUAGCAAGCAGUCAGCCAGUUCAAUUGCUUGGGAAAGGAAGCAACACAGACGCCCGCAAACCUUGUUUUGGGGCAUGCCAGUGAGUCUCUGCUUUCCAACUCUACCCACAGAUGACCUUGUCCUUGCCUUGACUGCUAUUCAUAUCAUUUAAGGUGAGGAAAGUGAGGUCAAGAAUGAUUUGAUGACCUGCUCAAAGUCACACAGUAAGUGGCAUGGCUUGGGUUUAAACCCAGGCAGCCUGAUUUCAGAGCUAACAUGGUCAACUUCAUAGAUCAUACAAUGUAUAAGAGAAAAGUAAACUAAAAGUGCUCAAGGUGAAUUGGAGAAGACAACAGCUUUUACUGGAGGAAGGUUUCUCCAACCAUGAAGUGAAACCAAAGAAAUCAAGAAGACGGACAGGAAAAGCUGACGAAUGUGACACAUGAAAGGGGGAGAGCUCUUGUAUUUGGUAGAUUAGAAUGAAUGAGUUAUCACAGGUUACAGAGUCCCUAUGAAAUCAGCCAGUUCACGUCACUUAGUAAAGAUAGAGCAGGGCA